rnacentral:lncRNA from 1 species
AAAAUGAAACUAGCUUCAGUCACAUAUAACAAAAUAUCUUUUUACAUACAUGCACUUCCAAAUCUAAAGAAACUUUUGAACCUUAUCAUUAUUCCAUAUCCUAAGCAAAGCAUAACGCUUUUUAAUUUAGAUAAAUAUGGUUUUUCCUAUCCUUGUGGUGGAAAGGUCAAAAGCCUUAUCCAUACAAUCACAAGAAGAAAACCAGGAGAGGUAAUUAAUUAACUCAGAGGAUGGAGCAGCUAUUAGGGUAUGGAUCAUAAACUACGUGAUGGUACAUAGGAGAAUGAUAGGUGCCACACAUGGGACAAGGUGGAGGAUAGUUUUCAUUUGUCUCGGUUUCAUCUUCCUCUUCUCCUCCAUCUUGGCCACCCUCAUCUUUUUCUUCUUUCACUUCUUCCACACUUAAUAACGUUGCAUAACUGAACUUCUUUCUCAUCCGGUUGGUUAAGAAAACAGCAUCGAUUCCUUCUCCAGUUACCACCAAUUGAUCACUGGUUUCGCCUUCAAAUGCUAAUGAU